GACGAACGCUGGCGGCGUGCUUAACACAUGCAAGUCGAACGGAAAGGCCCUGCUUGCAGGGUACUCGAGUGGCGAACGGGUGAGUAACACGUGGGUGAUCUGCCCUUCACUUCGGGAUAAGCCUGGGAAACUGGGUCUAAUACCGGAUAUGACCUUCCAUGUAGUGUGGGGGGUGGAAAGAUUUAUCGGUGUGGGAUGAGCCCGCGGCCUAUCAGCUUGUUGGUGGGGUAAUGGCCUACCAAGGCGUCGACGGGUAGCCGGCCUGAGAGGGUGGACGGCCACAUUGGGACUGAGAUACGGCCCAGACUCCUACGGGAGGCAGCAGUGGGGAAUAUUGCACAAUGGGCGGAAGCCUGAUGCAGCGACGCCGCGUGGGGGAUGACGGCCUUCGGGUUGUAAACCUCUUUCGACAGGGACGAAGCUUCGGUGACGGUACCUGUAUAAGAAGCACCGGCUAACUACGUG
rnacentral:rRNA from 1 species